UCGAACUGCCUUUGAUUGGGAUCUUAUGUAGGCCAGCCCCAUACACUGGAGACUGCCCCCCCCCCCACCCCCCUCAUCUGCAUGGAUAAACAAGAGACCACCAACAGUGUGGGGUGUUUUCGUUCCUCUCCACAAAACGGGAUGAGUUACCCUGCGGACGAUGAAACUUCGGGGCAGAUGAAAGUUGUGGAACGAGAAACUUUGACAAAGCGUAUGGUGGGAAAUCCUAAAGCCGUUUCACACGCCAGUCAGGGGCGUUCAAGGUCCAGAGGACUGGACAUGUGCAAGCAGACCUCUCGCUUACCCUCUUCAUAGACGCUGGCUCCCUGGCUCGCUGUCUGUGACCACCUCUAAUGCAGGUCAUCUGUCACGCACCCACACCUCAUUCUCCUCCACCUCUGUGGCACGAGGGAAGCUGCACCCGCACCUGAGUGGCCCGCCCGUCUGCCCCCCUCUCUCUCCCUGGUUCUCUCUUUCUCUGUCUCUUUACUUUAGUCUUUCUCCCUCUGCCUUUAUCUUGCCCUCUGUCUCCCUCUCUCUGUCUUUCUCUUUCACUCUCUCUCUCUUUCACUUACUCUUCCUUCCUUGUUAUCUAAUUGCUGAUUGAAUGUUGCUGUUUGUCGUAUCCUGAUGAAAAAUAACCUUUAAUGGUCCUCUGCACCUGUCAGUCCCUCAUUAGAGAAAUGUUUUGAGGUUUUAAUACUUGCUGUUGAUAAUUUGUGCUUUUAUGCCAGCCACAUUUCCUGCCAGUCAGGUGAAUCACAUUACUUUUGUAGAAUUGCCUAUUGACGUACCAUUUCCAGAUAGACGGGACUCACUUUUGCAUAGCUUUGUAGGGAUGCAGUUCUUGGAACUGCCAGGCAAUCUUAAAGGCCAGAUAUGACACUUAUCAUCAUGUCACACCCAUCACAUCAUUUAAAAAUGUUAUACUGGAAAAACAAAAUAUACCUUUUGAAGGAAAUACCUUUUGAUUCUUGAAUUACCUUGAAUUCCCAUACAAUGUCAAUUGUGUUUGAUCCACAAAUGUGUGUAUGUACUUAAAAGAUCAUUGUUAGUUCGAGAGAACAGGAAAUUAGCCGGUACGUUUUUGGUUCUUAUUCAUCAUCCAACAUAAUUA